rnacentral:rRNA from 1 species
UACAGAGGGUGCGAGCGUUGUUCGGAAUUAUUGGGCGUAAAGCGCGUGUAGGCGGCUUUGCAAGUCGGGUGUGAAAGCCCUCAGCUUAACUGAGGAAGUGCGCCCGAAACUGCAUUGCUUGAGUACCGGAGAGGAUGGCGGAAUUCCCCAAGUAGAGGUGAAAUUCGUAGAUAUGGGGAGGAACACCGGUGGCGAAGGCGGCCAUCUGGACGGAUACUGACGCUGAGGAGCGAAAGCGUGGGGAGCGAACAGG